rnacentral:rRNA from 1 species
UACAGAGGGUGCGAGCGUUGUCCGGAAUCGACUGGGCGUAAAGGGCGCGUAGGUGGUGGCUUAAGCGUGCGGUGAAAGCUCGGGGCUCAACUCCGAGUCGGCCGUGCGAACUGGGCUCACUGGAGGCAUAGUAGAGGCAGGUGGAAUUCCGGGUGUAGGCGGUGGAAUGCGUAGAGAUCCGGAAGAACACCGGUGGCGAAGGCGGCCUGCUGGGCUAUGGCUGACACUGAGGCGCGACAGCGUGGGGAGCAAACAGG